AGUCGAACGCGAAAGUCUCUUCGGAGAUGAGUAGAGUGGCGCACGGGUGAGUAACGCGUGGAUAAUCUACCUAUUGGUACGGGACAACAGUUGGAAACGACUGCUAAUACCGUAUAAGCUGGAAACGGGAAAGGGGGCCUCUUCUUGAAAGCUCUCGCCAGUAGAUGAGUCCGCGUUUCAUUAGCUAGACGGUGGGGUAACGGCCUACCGUGGCAACGAUGAAUAGCAGGCCUGAGAGGGUGGCCUGCCACACUGGGACUGGAACACGGCCCAGACUCCUACGGGAGGCAGCAGUGGGGAAUAUUGCGCAAUGGACGAAAGUCUGACGCAGCGACGCCGCGUGGAGGAUGAAGGUUUUCGGAUCGUAAACUCCUGUCAAGAGGGAAGAAACCUAUUGAGAAUAAUACUCUUAGUAAUUGACGGUACCUCUAGAGGAAGCACCGGCUAAUUCAGUGCCAGCAGCCGCGGUAAUACUGAAGGUGCAAGCGUUAAUCGGAAUCACUGGGCGUAAAGCGCUCGUAGGUGGCUUUGUAAGUCAGAUGUGAAAGCCCACGGCUCAACCGUGGAAUUGCAUUUGAUACUGCAUCGCUAGAGUAUAGGAGAGGGAAGUGGAAUUUCUGGUGUAGGAGUGAAAUCCGUAGAGAUCAGAAGGAACACCGGUGGCGAAGGCGACUUCCUGGACUAUUACUGACACUGAGGAGCGAAAGCGUGGGGAGCAAACAGGAUUAGAUACCCUGGUAGUCCACGCCGUAAACGAUGGGUACUAAGUGUCGGAGGCUUGACCUUCGGUGCUGUAGUUAACGCGUUAAGUACCCCGCCUGGGGAGUACGGUCGCAAGGCUGAAACUCAAAGAAAUUGACGGGGGCCC
rnacentral:rRNA from 1 species